rnacentral:rRNA from 1 species
UACGUAGGGGGCAAGCGUUGUCCGGAAUCAUUGGGCGUAAAGCGCGUGUAGGCGGCCCGGUAAGUCCGCUGUGAAAGUCGGGGGCUCAACCCUCGAAUGCCGGUGGAUACUGUCGGGCUAGAGUGCGGGAGAGGCGAGUGGAAUUCCUGGUGUAGCGGUGAAAUGCGCAGACAUCAGGAGGAACACCAAUUGCGAAGGCAGCUCGCUGGAACGUAACUGACGCUGAGACGCGAAAGCGUGGGGAAGCAAACACGGG